GAUGAACGCUGGCGGCGUGCCUAAUACAUGCAAGUCGAACGAGGUGCUUUUGUAGCAAUACGAGAGUAUCCUAGUGGCGAACGGGUGAGUAACGCGUUGGUGACCUACCCCAAAGUGUGGGAUAACAGUCCGAAAGGAUUGCUAAUACCGCAUGUGGUCUUCGGAUUUAGAAACUGAUGACUAAAGGAGCAAUUCGCUUUGGGAGGGACCUGCGUCCCAUCAGCUAGUUGGUGAGGUAAUGGCUCACCAAGGCUACGACGGGUAGGGGACCUGAGAGGGUGACCCCCCACAAUGGAACUGAAACACGGUCCAUACACCUACGGGUGGCAGCAGUAGGGAAUAUUGCACAAUGGGCGAAAGCCUGAUGCAGCAACGCCGCGUGUGCGAUGAAGGCCUUCGGGUCGUAAAGCACUUUUCUGGGAGAUGAGCAAGGACAGUAUCUCAGGAAUAAGUCUCGGCUAACUACGUGCCA
rnacentral:rRNA from 1 species